rnacentral:rRNA from 1 species
AUUGAGUUUGAUCAUGGCUCAGAUUGAACGCUGGCGGCAGGCUUAACACAUGCAAGUCGAGCGGAGAUGAGGUGCUUGCACCUUAUCUUAGCGGCGGACGGGUGAGUAAUGCUUAGGAAUCUGCCAUUUAGUGGGGGAAACAUUCCGAAAGGAAUGCUAAUACCGCAUACGUCCUACGGGAGAAAGCAGGGGAUCUUCGGACCUUGCGCUAAAUGAUGAGCCUAAGUCGGAUUAGCUAGUUGGUGGGGUAAAGGCCUACCAAGGCGACGAUCUGUAGCGGGUCUGAGAGGACGAUCCGCCACACUGGGACUGAGACACGGCCCAGACUCCUACGGGAGGCAGCAGUGGGGAAUAUUGGACAAUGGGCGGAAGCCUGAUCCAGCCAUGCCGCGUGUGUGAAGAAGGCCUU